GGCAACUUGGCCGAGCGGUCUAAGGCGCCAGACUCAAGUGUCCCCAUCAAAAUGGUCACUUCCCCCCAGUAAGCGGAGGCGCAUUCUGGUCUCGAAAGAGGCGUGAGUUCGAAUCUCACAGUUGUCA
rnacentral:tRNA from 1 species